UGCAGUCUUGUCAGAUUCGGUGCUCUCCUGUUCUGUGGUGAGGACCGGCCUUGUGGCUGCCACAAAAACUUGUAGUUCAUGGGCCCCAGGUCUGUGCUGUUGGGCCUGGGGAUAAAAACAUGCUACAGACAAUG